rnacentral:lncRNA from 1 species
AUCAAGUAGUAUAAUGGACCUUUUAAGUCCCAGUCGAUCCCUCAUAGAGUGUUCUUUUCAAUUACGAGUUUAUUUGUUUCAAAUUAAUGAAAAAGAUACACACAUUUAAAAGUUCGAUUUUAAAAACUAUAAAAAGGCGAAAACUCGAUUUUGAUUUAAAAUACUUAAAUAAUACUUAAAAAGUGGAAAAGUUUGAUUUUAAAAGAUGUUGGAAUUUAUGAUUUCGCUUAACCCUUUUCAAGCCAAUUAUGCGUCGAUGCAAAUUACCAAAAUAUGUGGUUAGACCCGAUUUUCCAAAAUUAGUCAAUAACCUCUGUCGAGCGAUAUCAACCCUAAUUGCUUGGCAUUAACAUAUUUCUAUGUCGUUCUAAACCAAACAACUGCAUUCAAUUUUUGUGAAAAUAACUCAACGGGUCACAUUGGGUAGGUAUACAUGUCUGGAUACCUAAACGCGUAUAGUCGAAACCAUACAAACCUAUGGUAUUAAUUAUUUCAGUCCAUUAUGUGCAACUAUUUUUCAAUAAUUACGCAACUACCUAACCCCAACAUCUAUUGACGUCAAAUAAAUGUAGUAAUCUUAAACAUGAUAAUUAAUACACCAAUAUUUUGAUAACAAAUGCAUAUCUAACAACAUAUAACACGAUAUUAAUGAAAAUAGGUUAAGCUAAUACAUAAAUUCCAACAUAAACUUAUUUAGUUCAUCAUUCUAACAAAAUAACAAAGAGAUUCUCAUAAACAUAUCAUUACGAAAUGAAGAACUAAAUGAAAGGAAUACAAAAGUUGAGAUAAAACUCUUUUAAAUACGAAUUGUAAUUCCUUCAAUGUAUUCUUCAAGCUUUCCUUAAUGAUCUCCUUGCUAUAUCCACUUGAUUCCCAAAAUAAAACUAAAAUUAACAAAAGAAAAUAAAACUAAAAGAAGAAAAAUCAAGAAAAAGAGAGAGAGAGACCAAGAGAGAUAGAGAGAAAAGUGAAAGAGUUGGGGAAUUUUUUUUACCUACCAAGUUAUAUUAGUAUAUAUAUGGAAUAUGUAUAAAAUAUAAUAUAAAAAAAAGAUAUUAUUAGACACAUAAAUAUCCUAAAAAUAUCUAGCAUAAAAUAUCUUUGCUCUGUCCACCUUGAUACCCUUUGCUGAGAUUUUGUGUCCUAACACGAUGCCUUCCUGUACCAUAAAGUGACAUUUCUCCCAAUUCAAUAUCAAGUUGGUCUCCGUACACUGCUGUAAUACAAGACUCAGAUGCUCCAAACACUCAUCAAACGAAGACCCAAACACUGAGAAGUCGUCCAUGAAUACCUCAAUGAAUUUCUCAAUCAUAUCCGAAUAGAUAGCCAUCAUGCAGCGCUGAAAAGUGACGAGAGUGUUGCACAAGCCAAAAGGCAUCCUACGAUAUGCAAAUGUACCGUAGGGGCAGGUGAAAGUUGUUUUCUCCUGAUCGUCAGGGGCUAUUGGAAUCUGAUUAUACCCGGAGUACCCAUCCAGAAAAUAGUAAUGCUAGUGUCCUGUUAGUCUCUUAAACAUUCGAUCAAUAAACGGUAGUGGAAAGUGAUCCUUUCGAGUAACAGCGUUUAGUUUGCGGUAAUCGAUGCAAACUCUUCAUCCAGUCACUAUUCUUGUAGGAAUCAACUCAUUUUUCUCAUUUCCACCAAUGUGAUACCCCCUUUCUUGGGAACAACCUAUACUGCACUGAUCCAUGCACUAUCUGAUAUUGGGUAGAUGAUGUCUGCGUCAAGCAACUUCAAUACCUCAGCCCUAACCACUUCCUUCAUGUAUGGAUUCAAUCUUCGCUAACCAUCAAUGCUUGGCUUGAAUUUUUCCUCCAUGAGUAUUUUUUGCAUGCAUAGCGACGGGUUGAUCCCUUUGAUAUUAGUAAUUGACCAUCUAAUGGCUGUUUUAUUCUCCCUUAGCACCUAAAGUAGUUUCUCUUCCUCCACUUCACUGACAGUAUUUGAAAUAAUAACCGGAAGUGUAGAAGAUUNNNNNNNNNNNNNNNNNNNNNNNNNNNNNNNNNNNNNNNNNNNNNNNNNNNNNNNNNNNCAACAUCUAUUGACGUCAAAUAAAUGUAGUAAUCUUAAACAUGAUAAUUAAUACACCAAUAUUUUGAUAACAAAUGCAUAUCUAACAACAUAUAACACGAUAUUAAUGAAAAUAGGUUAAGCUAAUACAUAAAUUCCAACAUAAACUUAUUUAGUUCAUCAUUCUAACAAAAUAACAAAGAGAUUCUCAUAAACAUAUCAUUACGAAAUGAAGAACUAAAUGAAAGGAAUACAAAAGUUGAGAUAAAACUCUUUUAAAUACGAAUUGUAAUUCCUUCAAUGUAUUCUUCAAGCUUUCCUUAAUGAUCUCCUUGCUAUAUCCACUUGAUUCCCAAAAUAAAACUAAAAUUAACAAAAGAAAAUAAAACUAAAAGAAGAAAAAUCAAGAAAAAGAGAGAGAGAGACCAAGAGAGAUAGAGAGAAAAGUGAAAGAGUUG